rnacentral:rRNA from 1 species
GGUUCCUGGGCGAGGCUAAUCCCCCCAGGGUCAGUCGGGAGCUAAGGCGAGGCCGAGAGGCGUAGCCGAUGCGCAGCGGGCAGACAUUCCCGCACCGCCGACGGCGCGGCAUUACCGAUGGGGCGACGGAGAAGGGUAGCCGGGCGGGGUUCUGGACGUCCCCGUGAAAGCGCGUAGGGGGCAGGGCAUGGAAAUCAGCCCUGCGGACACCCCGAGACGCGAGACGAAGCCUCCAUGGCGAAGCCGGUCAUCCCAUGCUCCCGAGAAAAACCCCUAGGCAGGCGCGUGCGCGCCCGUACCGCAAACCGACACAGGUGGGUGGGUAGAACAUACCGAGGCGAUCGGGUCAACCAUGGUCAAGGAACUCGGCACAAUGGCCCCGUAACUUCGGGAGAAGGGGUGCCCGCGCGUACGUGAACCGGCUUGCCCGGGGAGCGGAGGCGGGCCGCAGUGGAGAGGCCCAAGCGACUGUUUACCAAAAACACAGGACUCUGCAGAAGCCGCAAGGCGACGUAUAGGGUCUGACGCCUGCCCGGUGCCGGAAGGUCACGCGGAGGAGUUAGCCGUUAAGGCGAAGCCCCGAAGCCAAGCCCCGGUAAACGGCGGCCGUAACUAUAACGGUCCUAAGGUAGCGAAAUUCCUUGUCGGGUAAGUUCCGACCUGCACGAAAGGCGCAACGACUUGGGCGCUGUCUCGACCAUGGACCCGGUGAAAUUGCACUGGUCGUGAAGAUGCGACUUACCCGCGGAAGGACGGAAAGACCCCGUGAACCUUCACUGCAGCUUGGCAUUGGCCGCUGGUCCCGCGUGUAGAGGAUAGGCAGGAGGCAUCGAUCCGGAGGCGCCAGCCCCCGGGGAGCCGCCCUUGGAAUACUGCCCUCGCGCGACCGGCGUCCUAACCCGAGGCCGUCAACCGGCUCGGGGACCGUGCCAGGCGGGCAGUUUGACUGGGGCGGUCGCCUCCUAAAGGGUAACGGAGGCGCGCGAAGGUCCGCUCGGGACGGUCGGCAACCGUCCUUUUGAAUGCAAGAGUACAAGCGGGCUUGACUGCGAGGCCCACAAGCCGAGCAGGUGCGAAAGCAGGCUCUAGUGAUCCGGCGGCCCCGAGUGGGUGGGCCGUCGCUCAACGGAUAAAAGGUACUCCGGGGAUAACAGGCUGAUCUUGCCCAAGAGUCCACAUCGACGGCAAGGUUUGGCACCUCGAUGUCGGCUCAUCGCAUCCUGGGGCUGUAGCAGGUCCCAAGGGUUGGGCUGUUCGCCCAUUAAAGCGGUACGCGAGCUGGGUUCAGAACGUCGUGAGACAGUUCGGUCCCUAUCCUCCGCGGGCGCAAGGGAGUUGAGGAGAUCUGCCCCUAGUACGAGAGGACCGGGGUGGACGGACCUCUGGUGACGCGGUUGUCGACCAACGGCACCGCCGCCUAGCUACGUCCGGCACGGAUAACCGCUGAAGGCAUCUAAGUGGGAAGCCGCCUCCGAGAUGAGCUCCCUUUCCGGUAAGGGCCCAGAUAGACUAUCUGGUCGAUAGGGCGCAGCUGCAAGCAGGGCGACCUGCUCAGGCGAGCGCUACUAAUAGCCCGAGCUCUUCUUC